GGACUCUCGCCCAUUUCCCACAGACCUAUAUACCCCGCCUGCAAACCUGACGGAAAGGCCCACACACCACACCAGAGAGAUGUGGAGGGACGGAGCAUUCAUCAUAGACAGCAUUGGAGCCCCCGUCCCGGAACCCUGAGCAUGCCUGCAGGUAGUGGAGGGUUUGCCUUCAUCAGCAAACACCAGAUGCCUUUCACAUCUUACC
rnacentral:lncRNA from 1 species